rnacentral:rRNA from 1 species
GAUGAACGCUGGCGGCGUGCCUAAUACAUGCAAGUCGAGCGAACGGACGAGAAGCUUGCUUCUCUGAUGUUAGCGGCGGACGGGUGAGUAACACGUGGAUAACCUACCUAUAAGACUGGGAUAACUUCGGGAAACCGGAGCUAAUACCGGAUAAUAUUUUGAACCGCAUGGUUCAAACGUGAAAGACGGUCUUGCUGUCACUUAUAGAUGGAUCCGCGCUGCAUUAGCUAGUUGGUAAGGUAACGGCUUACCAAGGCAACGAUGCAUAGCCGACCUGAGAGGGGGAUCGGCCACACUGGAACUGAGACACGGUCCAGACUCCUACGGGAGGCAGCAGUAGGGAAUCUUCCGCAAUGGGCGAAAGCCUGACGGAGCAACGCCGCGUGAGUGAUGAAGGUCUUCGGAUCGUAAAACUCUGUUAUUAGGGAAGAACAUAUGUGUAAGUAACUGUGCACAUCUUGACGGUACCUAAUCAGAAAGCCACGGCUAACUACGGG